AACCCCAGAAGGGGCUCACGGGAAUGUCCUCUGGAACCGAGGUGCUCUCUGUACUCCCCGUCUGGAUACCGCGAUACCCGCAUCCAGGUGUCUCCAUUGCUGCUCUCCCCGGGACCUCUCAGGCCUCCUGGGGUGGGGGCUGGAACGGAGGCUGCAGGGCCCCUGGGACCAGCAAGAGGAAGCGCCCCUGCGGCCACCAGCUGUGAAGUGUUUUCAUCCUCCCUUCGCUGUUAGAGGCAAGAGAACUCCAGACUACUGAUGCAGAUGUGUGAGGGUGUCCCCACAGUUUGCCUCCGGGGACUCUUGGCCUGGAGUGACCUUCCUUUUUGGGGGUAGAUGAGCUUCCGGAAAGCCUGCCAUGCAGCCCUGAAACCUCGGAGCUGUGCCAGAUGGUUCUUGCCUUGGUGACGUUGAUGUCAUGAUGCCGCCAGCCUGGGGAGUGACGCGGCCAGAAACAGGAAGGUGCAGAGGCCCCUGGCACAGAGUAGGUGUGCCGUGAACACUGGCUGCCUAUAGCUGACAUCAGGACAGGCGACCCAGUGUGCCCGGGGCCACCGCCCAGCCCCCAGCCCCCAGCCACAGCCCUGCCGCUGAGACCUCGGGGCUUCCCUUUCCCCACCUCUCAGGUGAUGUAGUGAGGGGCAUGAGGACGGUGUGAAGCAGGAGGGUGGGAGUUGUGCCCGCUGGAACCCCCACACCUCCAGACCUGCCCCUCUGCUCCGAGGGUGGACGGGUCCUGUUCAGGUAGGGGCCCAAAGGGGGAGGCACCUGGCUGGCUGGGAAAGUGAGGACGAGGAAGCAGCUGGGAAUAAGCCCUGGGAGACUCCAUUGGGGUUUGGCCCCUUCCUGGGGCGUAGAAGAGGGGAGUGGAGGAGAACUGGGGAUGACCGUGUCAGGUCGCUCGUGGUGCGGGGAGGGGCUGAGGUGAUGGUCCAGGGGGUGAACCGUGGCAUGUCCAGCAGACCCUGCAGGGGCCUAAGGAGAGAAAUGCCAGAAUUGGCAAGGGACCCAGGCAGACAGGAGCUGCAGAUGGGGCACCAGCAGCAGUGAUGACCUCAGGGGAAAUGGAGUGAAAGCCGGAAGCUUACAGCAGCGCCUCCCUGGAGGGGCCUUGUGGCUGGGAUGGGGUCCUAGGGAGCACACAGGGCGUCAAGCACCAGGGCCCUGGGCCAGGAACCAGCUCCUGUGGUUCCUUACAGGAACCAGUAAGCCGAGCAGGAAGAGGCCAGAUCAGGAAGGGGCUUGAGGGUCUUCCAAGGUUGGAGUGGGCAAGGGUCCAGGGAGGAGGAGAGGCGGUAAAGCCAGACUGGAUGGUGACAUAACCCCGGGGGAGCAGCUGUGGCUGCUGCCGGAGGGAGCCGAGGGAACCCAAGAGGCGUCCUAGAUAAGAAUUCGGAAGGGAUGCGCCGGUGGGAGCAGACCCCGAGUGGUGCAGGGACUCGGGUGGACGCCCGCGCUGGCCCCGGCCUUCGCUCAGGAGGACACCAGCCUGCGGCAGCUGGCUCCGUUUUAUCUUCCAAGGUGGAAAUGGCUUUGCAGUUUAUGGCCAUUUCUAGGGUUGCCGGAUGUAGCAAAUAAAAGUACACAUGUUGUAUGGGACAUCUUCACACUAAAAAAUUACUUAUUUGAAAUGUGAAGUUUAUCUGGGUAUACCGUAUUUCCUCUAGCAAAUGUAACCAUAACGGGUAUAAAUAAUCCAGCUAACACGAAAAUAAAAAGUGAGAACUCUCUAUAAUCCCACCCCAAAAGGGUAAUCUCGAAAGCAA